rnacentral:lncRNA from 1 species
GUGGCACACAGACCACCCCAUCCCUGGCCCCAGCCCUCUCUACAUGUCAUUUCCAGGUCCAGCUGUAUGUAUGGCACAUGCUGCCUCUGGGGAAAGACUUAUUCCAUCGGAUUCCUGCGGUUCUGUAAACAGGUAUGUGACAGCCCCAGGGUUGGGGAACAGGCUAGGGGCCCUGGUUCAGACCUUUGUCCUGGAGGUGUUUGGUAUACAUGCUGACCUGCACCAUACCUGUGGUCCCCAGGACCCCCAGCUGUCCCCAAGCUGUUUUGGAGACACCGUGAAAGUAUCAGGGGCAGCCCGGGGCCAGAGAGACUGGUCCAGAGUCCUGCUGUGUUCAGGAACCAGGAAGCACACAGGUUCUGGACAUCAGUUUGAAAACUCACCUCUGUUUCUAGGCUAAGAAGGUUUAGGCAUUAAAGACCUGAAUGAAUGG